UUUCGCAAUGCCCGAAAGGGUGACGAAGCGACGCCGCGUGGGUGAGGAAGGCCCUCGGGUUGUAAAGCCCUGUCAGGAGUUAAGAAAUGUAAGUGCGCUAAUAUCGCAUUUAUUUGACGAAGGCUCCAAAGGAAGCCACGGCUAACUCUGUGCCAGCAGCCGCGGUAAUACAGAGGUGGCAAGCGUUGUUCGGAAUUAUUGGGCGUAAAGAGCACGUAGGUGGGUUUGUAAGUCAGAUGUGAAAGCCUUCUGUUCAACGGAAGAAUUGCAUCUGAAACUGCAGGUCUUGAGUGUAGGAGGGGAGAAUGGAACUUCUGGUGGAGCGGUGAAAUGCGUAGAUAUCAGAAGGAACGCCGGCGGCGAAAGCGAUUCUCUGGCCUAUUACUGACACUCAGUGUGCGAAAGCUAGGGGAGCAAACGGGAUUAGAUACCCCGGUAGUCCUAGCCGUAAACGAUGGGCACUAAGUAGAGGGGUUUUA
rnacentral:rRNA from 1 species